rnacentral:rRNA from 1 species
AUUGAACGCUGGCGGCAUGCCUUACACAUGCGAGUCGAACGGCAGCACGGGUGCUUGCCCCUGGUGGCGAGUGGCGAACGGGUGAGUAAUACAUCGGAACAAGUCCUGUAGUGGGGGAUAGCCCGGCGAAAGCCGGAUUAAUACCGCAUACGAUCUACGGAUGAAAGCGGGGGACCUACGGGCCUCGCGCUAUGGGGUUGGCCGAUGGCUGAUUAGCUAGUUGGUGGGGUAAAGGCCUACCAAGGCGACGAUCAGUAGCUGGUCUGAGAGGGAGACCAGCCACACUGGGACUGAGACACGGCCCAGACUCCUACGGGAGGCAGCAGUGGGGAAUUUUGGACAGUGGGCGAAAGCCUGAUCCAGCAAUGCCGCGUGUGUGAAGAAGGCCUUCGGGUUGUAAAGCACUUUUGUCCGGAAAGAAAUCCUUGGCCCUAAUACGGUCGGGGGAUGACGGUACCGGAAGAAUAAGCACCGGCUAACUACGUG